rnacentral:rRNA from 1 species
GAUGAACGCUGGCGGCGUGCUUAACACAUGCAAGUCGAACGGUGAAGGCGGAGCUUGCUCUGCUGGAUCAGUGGCGAACGGGUGAGUAACACGUGAGCAAUCUGCCCCUGACUCUGGGAUAAGCGCUGGAAACGGCGUCUAAUACUGGAUACGAGCUGCUAAGGCAUCUUCAGCAGCUGGAAAGAACUUCGGUCAGGGAUGAGCUCGCGGGCUAUCAGCUUGUUGGUGAGGUAACGGCUCACCAAGGCGUCGACGGGUAGCCGGCCUGAGAGGGUGACCGGCCACACUGGGACUGAGACACGGCCCAGACUCCUACGGGAGGCAGCAGUGGGGAAUAUUGCACAAUGGGCGAAAGCCUGAUGCAGCAACGCCGCGUGAGGGACGACGGCCUUCGGGUUGUAAACCUCUUUUAGCAGGGAAGAAGCGAAAGUGACGGUACCUGCAGAAAAAGCGCCGGCUAACUACGUG